rnacentral:misc_RNA from 1 species
GACGAAGGUGGCAACCGUUGUUCGGAAUCACUGGGCAUAAAGAGCACGUAGGCGGCUAGGUAAGUCGGGUGUGAAAGCCCUCGGCCCAACCGAGGAAUUGCGCCGGAUACUGCUUAGCUUGAGGACAGGAGGGGGACGUGGAAUUCCUGGUGGAGCGGUGAAAUGCGUUGAUAUCAGGAGGAACACCGGCGGCGAAGGCGACGUCCUGGCCUGUUUCUGACGCUGAGGUGCGAAAGCCAGGGGAGCAGACGGG